ensembl:lncRNA
AUGCCCAGAGCAGCUGAUGGAUUUUACUGUAUCUCUUCUUUCAUCAGGGCUGGAAUGAUAGGCUGGAUUGUGCAGGGACUGGGAAAAGUGGUUCCACAGCCAGAUGAGAAAUACAAGGGUCACACAGAGCCAGAGGAGGUCACUGAGCUUGCAGUUCCAGUGGUUAAAGUGGAUCCUCCAGUGCAAGAGGUCAAAGGCGUUCGUGAUGCUGAGCCGCUGCCUCAUAUUCCUGUGGUGGAGGUUGUGUCUGAUGAGGACCCAGAUGCUUCUAAUGUGCCCUUCUCUCCCAGAGUAAUAGAAUGGAUUAAGCAUGGUUUUGAGAAGGUAGUUCCACAUUCUCCUGUCCAUCUUCAUCCUCCCGCUGCUACAGAGGCACCCGCCCAGAAGGCUGCUUCUGCUCCUGUGACUCCCUGCAAACAAGAGCCAGCACCUGCAGCUCCUGAGCAACCUAAAGUAGCUGAGGAUUCCAAAGGCACAAAUAUGGUUGGCUGGAUUGUACAGGGGUUCGGACGCAUCAUACCACAACCAGUACUGAAACCAAAAGAGGACAGCUCUGAUGUCGUUCAAAACGUCUGCAUCCUGCAGGACCCGUGUGAUAUGGUGCUGGAGGAGGUGGGCUCAGACUGGGAGGCCCAGCAGAGGGAGCAGGGCUCGGGGCAGGACGUACAGGCUGAGGAGCAGGUGCCACAGGAGGGCUCAUCCCUGCUGCAGGUGCUGCCCAAUAUCCUGCCGCACAUGCUGGCCAUGCAGGAGCAGGAGGACGCAGAGACCCAGACUGAGCGCUGGACGCCUCUCAUUGAGAGCAUCAAGAAGGAAGCAGAGGAGAAUGCCAUAGCAAACAUAGAGGAGAGGUGAGAACCAAUGGUUUGGAUCCCAGUGACCUUGUGGUGGAUUUAACUAUGUGAGGCCUGAAAUAUGAAAUAAUAUUUAGAAAAAUCUCAAUGAUGUCAUUUGAAAUAGAACAGUUUAUUAAAUCUUUAGACAUAAUCUAAUUUUUAAAAAAAAAUAAAAAAUUCAUAUUUGAUACUUGGCUUUUAUGGCUCAUGUAGUGUGAUAUAGGAGAAUGUAAAGCUCAUAAGAGGAAAAAACACCUAAAUUUUAUUCUCAAAUUGAGCAAAAAAUAUGCCGUUUGGUUCAGUUGCUGAAAUUUAUAAGGCAAAUUACAAAAUGUGCAAAUUUUGCAAUUGGGGUCUAAAUAUGUUGCUUUUCAAUACCUAAUACAGACAUACAAUGUAUUAUUAGAAUUAAUGAUUAAAAAAAAAAAAAAAAAACAGCUGACAAUUGCCCAAAACCCCUCUAAAACCAUCCAAAACCUAAACAGACCAGCCUAAUCUGCUUGGACAUGCUUGGAGUCCAGCAAACCAAUUUGGGCUCCAGUGGGAUCAAUGCUAUAAUGCACAAUUUCUCCCAUGCACUGGAAUUGAAUCUACAUGCUUCAGAUUCUGAGAAUACCACGUCAAUUGUGAUGCAUUGAUACAAAAAUAUUCAGUAGAAAAGGAUAACUUUAAAAAGAAAUAUCAGUUUCUCAGCCUAAUCUCUAUGACCUACGAAGCAUGAUUUUUUUUCCUAUUGUCGAUGCAGUCUGCAUCCUGCAGGACCCGUGUGAUAUGGUGCUGGAGGAGGUGGGCUCAGACUGGGAGGCCCAGCAGAGGGAGCAGGGCUCGGGGCAGGACGUACAGGCUGAGGAGCAGGUGCCACAGGAGGGCUCAUCCCUGCUGCAGGUGCUGCCCAAUAUCCUGCCGCACAUGCUGGCCAUGCAGGAGCAGGAGGACGCAGAGACCCAGACUGAGCGCUGGACGCCUCUCAUUGAGAGCAUCAAGAAGGAAGCAGAGGAGAAUGCCAUAGCAAACAUAGAGGAGAGGUGAGAACCAAUGGUUUGGAUCCCAGUGACCUUGUGGUGGAUUUAACUAUGUGAGACCUGAAAUAUGAAAUAAUAUUUAGAAAAAUCUCAAUGAUGUCAUUUGAAAUAGAACAGUUUAUUAAAUCUUUAGACAUAAUCUAAUUAAAAAAAUUAAAAAAAAAUCAUAUUUGAUACUUGGCUUUUAUGGCUCAUGUAGUGUGAUAUAGGAGAAUGUAAAGCUCAUAAGAGGAAAAAACACCUAAAUUUUAUUCUCAAAUUGAGCAAAAAAUAUGCCGUUUGGUUCAGUUGCUGAAAUUUAUAAGGCAAAAAGUCAAAUGAAAUUCUGAA